rnacentral:tRNA from 1 species
GGCGGUCGUGGUGAAGGCCGCCCGGUUGCUGGAGCCGGCGGUGUCGUACUCCAUGGCGCCCAGCGACAGUUCGGUGCCGGCCGCCGACACC